CUAACCUUAUCCCACACAUAGACAGAAUCUGUGUGCUCCUUAAUUAAAGUGUCAUUGGUAACAUGGUCCAUGAGAGCCUGGGGGAAUGUCUAUGAUUGUAGGGAGACCCCCUAAAACUAUUGCUAUGGUAUAAAAGAUGAAAUGCUCCUGAUUAUUGUAAAUACAAAAUUGCAUGCAGGAUUGUGUAAAGACAAUGCCAGGUUGGACUGCCAGAAUGAGCCAACAGCGCGUGAUGUGCUUCCCCCUGCAGAGAGCCUAUGAAUGGACGUGCAGUCAGGGAGGUUUCACAUCACCAAGAUUCCUAUCCCAGAAAAGCAGAUGUUCAUGGCUCUGGGAAUGGAAUGCUACCCUUGUGGAGAGCCUAUAAACGGAUGCAUGGGGGGGUGCCUGUCCAUAUGGAUAAGAGCGCUAUGAAUGCCCUCAUCUUGCCGUGGCUCUUCUAGGCCUCUUUAGGGUUAAGGCAUACUCCCUUCUGAGAAUUUCUGGUCUAACCGGUUGUCUAGCUUCAUGUCCUGUUUCCAUGGAUUGUUUGUAACCAGCUUUUGUUGAAAUUGUUACUGCUGAUUAAUAUCUUGCUAAUCAUAGGUUAUGGAAAGAUUGUGUUUCUGUUUUAAGGCUCUGUUAGAAAUUACUGAUGCACACACUAUAUUGUAAAUUCUUAUCUCUGUGUACUGUACUUCUACAUACAAAUGUACUGUACUUCUGCAUACAAAUGUUAUGUUAAAGAAUUACUUCAUCCCCAUGUGACCAUCUCACCUCAUAAUCAAAUGACACUAAAUCCCUCACUAACCUACCCCUGCCCUCACUAAACUUAAUAAUAAAUGCUGGUAUAUCCAGUGCAUUGUUGGCACCAUGGGACCAGAAGGCGGUGACCCACCUGGACCCAGUUUUCACUAUCUUGUGUGUGUCUAUUAUUUCUCAACCUGCCGAUCCACCUGGAAACAAAGAGAGAGCCCCGUUGCAUUGCGGGCUGCUAGCCAGAUCCCGCAAUAUAUGACUUCUGCUUUAGAGAAGAGAAAUUCCUGCAAAGUGGAAGAAUCUCAGCCACAAAUAAUGGUUGUUCAAUAUAAAAACAGGCAUUAAAAGGAAAGGAUGAAGCUUUUUUACUUUCCUUUUGUUUCUUUGCUUAGAAGAACAAAGGAUUGGGAAGAACAGAAACAGUAAAGGACAGGAAUGUAUGAAGUCAAAAUGUCUAUCCAAGAUCCUCUUCUUCACAACCUAUAUAUAGGAGAAUAUGACAGCAUUCAUAUAUCCUGAAUAAAUUAGAAAGUCUAUCAGAGAACAAGUGUGAGGGAUACCAACUCUGAGCUGAAUAAGGACACGUUCUCAUCAGGGAAGAUUUGUUUUUGCCUGCGUCUUGGUAAAGUUGCUUUUUACCCUCUCAAUUAUUGGACGGAAAGUCUGUCUUCCCCCUGAGGCCAUUUAAAGGAACACAGAUGACUUCUUUACAUUUUCCUUCCCUUCUUCAAGGCUUAAUGAACUUUAGGGUGAAGUUUAUAAAGCCCAGAACAGAGAGCUUGCUCAAAAACACUGUGAAGUGCCCGAUGACGAUCUAUUUUUUCCUAUUUGUGAGAAUCAGAGAUUUGGAGAGCUCGUCCUUUCGCAUUUAUGUUUCAACACUUAAGUGUGACUUAACAAGAUGUUUAAAGCUGAGACUGGGGUAGAAUAAUUCUUGAGACUUAAGGGAUGUUGAAUUUCACACUCUAUAUAAGGGAGCUUAGCAUACCAAUCUUUGCUUUAGGGGAGAAUCAGGGAGCUAUUCUAGGGUUUGCUAAGUAUAAUAGUUGACACAGCAGAGAAAUCUUUCACUUUUGGCUUCCUGCCAUGCCCUGUGAAUAAAGGAGUAUGCCAGUUACUUAUAGGACUGUUUUUCCCUUGGGAGAUUUAGUUCUAGCUCACCUUAACUCAUUACUGAUUCACGGGCUGCUGUUUUUGGCUAAAUGUGUUAGAGGAGCAAUGUUAGCUGAGAGGCUAUCAAAAUUUGCAACAGGCUCUUCCAUCAUCCCAUCCCUUUGGAACUCUGCUGUCAAAAAAUCCACUCAAGACACUGCCUUUCUUUUUUCUCUUCCAUCCGUCCCCAUGAGUACUUUUUCCAAUUAAGGUCAGCUUGUAAAAGGACUACAUUUAUUAUUCAUGUUUCUAUCAUUUGCACUUUACUAGGCACUCUUUUUAUUAAGCACCAGUCCAUAAAAUGCCUGGAAGUUCAUCCUUUUUUUCUAUUCCCCACUGACAGUUGGCUUUGAUGUAGAGGGGAGAAAUGGAUCUGCUCAACAUUUCUAGCUCAAGUAGAGUCUUAGGCUAGAUGGCAAAAGUAGUUUAGCUGCUAAGACCCUUUGGCUGCAUCAUUAGACCAGCAUGUAAUUAUAUAUUUUAUAGGUAGCCCAGGGUAGACUGAAAUCAUCAUUUCCUAAAACGGACUUAGCAAUUAUCUUGGUAGAUAGGUGUUUGUUUAUUGAGUCUUAUCACUUUAGAAUUAAAGAGCAUGUCAAGAGAAAUACUUUAAAGAUAAUCCCAGAGAAUUUUCUAUUAUUCCCUGAAUAAUAGGAGAACAGAUUUGUUUACUUAAAAGUUGUGCUUAGAGGCCAACAGAUAACGAAGUUGUACAGAUAGCCUUUGGCACUCAUGGCAUGUAACAAAGUGAAAAUUUUUGGUUUAUGGAAACUAAGCCCAAACUACCAUUUUGCACAUCAUUACAGUGAUCCUGAUUUGGACUGUUGCUAGCCCACAUAUAUCCACUAUAAGAGCAUUUUCCUGCUCCACUAAACCCUAGACUAUUGUGAAAUUUUUGUUGAAUUCAUUAGUACCAAUUUAACCUAUUAAUUACUGAUAGAAAAUACAAAAAAAAAAAAAAAAACUAUGGGACCUUUGUGCCCAAGAGUGACUUAGCUAGUUUGUAUGACGAUUUCUCUGUGCUAAUAAGUUGACUGGGGAAGUAUAAAUGACUAAAGGAGUAGGGUUACAAAAUCACAUUAUUGAACACAAAAACAACUUUUUUUUUCAGCAUCACCUUGAUUUAUUUUCCUAGUAUUUUUUUCCUCAGAUGGAAAAAUAAUUUCAUCAAGAAAACAAAUGCUUCUGCCAAAGUGAAAGAAUUUUAUGUCUUA
rnacentral:lncRNA from 1 species